rnacentral:rRNA from 1 species
UACGAAGGGACCUAGCGUAGUUCGGAAUUACUGGGCUUAAAGAGCACGUAGGUGGUUAAAAAAGUUGGUGGUGAAAUCCCAGAGCUCAACUCUGGAACUGCCACCAAAACUUUUUAACUAGAGUAUGAUAGAGGUAAGUGGAAUUUCUAGUGUAGAGGUGAAAUUCGUAGAUAUUAGAAAGAACACCAAUUGCGAAGGCAGCUUUCUGGAUCAUUACUGACACUGAGGUGCGAAAGCAUGGGUAGCGAAGAGG